rnacentral:rRNA from 1 species
AACGAACGCUGGCGGCAUGCCUAACACAUGCAAGUCGAACGAGACCUUCGGGUCUAGUGGCGCACGGGUGCGUAACGCGUGGGAACCUGCCCUUAGGUUCGGAAUAACUCCCCGAAAGGGGUGCUAAUACCGGAUAAUGUCUUCGGACCAAAGAUUUAUCGCCUUUGGAUGGGCCCGCGUUGGAUUAGCUAGUUGGUAGGGUAAAAGCCUACCAAGGCGACGAUCCAUAGCUGGUCUGAGAGGAUGAUCAGCUACACUGGGACUGAGACACGGCCCAGACUCCUACGGGAGGCAGCAGUGGGGAAUAUUGGACAAUGGGCGAAAGCCUGAUCCAGCAAUGCCGCGUGAGUGAUGAAGGCCUUAGGGUUGUAAAGCCCUUUUACCCGGGAUGAUAAUGACAGUACCGGGAGAAUAAGCUCCGGCUAACUCCGUG